GAAACUAUUGAGGUGCAAGGAAAUUGCAGUGUCGUCAUACAGAGGACAUUACCUCCUAAAUUACAAGAUCCAGGGAGCUUUAUCAUUCAAGUGGUUGAAAGAAAAAAGAAAAAUAGAAAAUGUGUAAAAAUAAAGAAGAAAAUAAAAAGAAAGAAAAAGAGAAAGUUGAGGGGGGAGAGUGAGAAAAAGAGGAAGAGAGGAAAGAAGAAAAUAUCAUAUGAAAAGCCCCUUCCUCAUCAAAAGAAAAAUCAUAGGAAGGAAAAGAAGUNUAAGUGNUUUAUGGAGAUCUUC
rnacentral:lncRNA from 1 species